rnacentral:tRNA from 1 species
CGCGGGGUGGAGCAGUUUGGUAGCUCGUCGGGCUCAUAACCCGAAGGUCUCUGGUUCAAAUCCAGACCCCGCAACCA